rnacentral:rRNA from 1 species
UAAGGAAUAUUGGUCAAUGGACGCAAGUCUGAACCAGCCAUGCCGCGUGGAGGAUUAAGGCCCUCUGGGUUGUAAACUCCUUUUAUCUGGGAAGAAAUGCUUUGAUUCUUCAAAGCUUGACGGUACCAGAGGAAUAAGCACCGGCUAACUCCGUGCCAGCAGCCGCGGUAAUACGGAGGGUGCAAGCGUUAUCCGGAUUCACUGGGUUUAAAGGGUGCGUAGGCGGACAGGUAAGUCAGUGGUGAAAUCUCCGAGCUUAACUCGGAAACUGCCGUUGAUACUAUUUGUCUUGAAUAUUGUGGAGGUAAGCGGAAUAUGUCAUGUAGCGGUGAAAUGCUUAGAUAUGACAUAGAACACCAAUUGCGAAGGCAGCUUACUACGCAGUUAUUGACGCUGAGGCACGAAAGCGUGGGGAUCAAACA